AUACUGAUUCUGGGAUGGGUUCCGUUUGGAAGUGUUGUGUGGUCGCGGUUGUCUUUUAUGGUAUUUCCUCGUUCGGGUUGGAUUAUCAAAGUCAGCCAGGUCCAGGAUUUCAAUUUAAUUGUGGACAGGAUUUGUGUACUUUUCCUCAUCAAUAUUGUGAUACUGACGACUAUAGGUGCUUGUAUUGUAGUGACGAUCUCUGCCUUUCCAAGGACUUGCCAGACCAGUGUACUUCUUAUUGUAAAGAUAUUAUUCAAAGACCAAGCACCCCUGCAACGACACAAGAAACACAUCGUAAUUUAACGAGGGCAAAUCUCAAGGAGACCAUGCAAGGUGUGUUCCUAAUAUAAGGUUUAAAAAUAAGUCACAAAGCAUUAAGGGAAUCACCUGGAACGGAAAUAGAUUCACAUGUUUUGUUUUUGUUUUGUUUUUUAUAAUCGUAAGAGAUGAAAUGCUUGUAAUUAUUUAUAUUUUUAAGAGGAGUGGGUUUUAAAUAUUCAUUUUAUUUAUCUCUUCUUUAGUUUGUAAAUCAAGAAAACAUUCCAGUGUUUUGUUUAGAAGAUUACUAUUUUCGGUGACAUUUAAUUGUUAAAACUUCAUGAUGGUUAAAAUACACAUGUUUGUCAAACAAAACAUGCUGUUUUAUUCCUUUAUAUAUAAACUUGAAAAUUUUCGUCAAUAAAAUUUUAAUUAUUAUUCAUACUGUAUCAAGGACCAAUUGCAACAAAAAUUGGACGGGGAGGGGGGUGGGGGGUUACUGCAGACACUUUUGUGUAUAAAUUAUAUGAGACUGUGACUUGUAUACAUGUAUCUCAGAUAUAAAUUACAUUUUACUUACAAUUUUUUUCUUCUUCGAUUUAGAAAACUUGGCAAUUCCACUUUGGCUUAUCGUCUCUAUACUGUUGCUGAUCUUAGUUUUCUUGAUUGGACUUUUCUUUUACUUCUGUUGUUCCAAAUACAACCGUAGAAAAAAUACCUUUAUAACUAAUCCAUGCGAUGAUAAACACGAGGCUUACAACAUUACAAGUAUGUCUACGCCUGCAACUGCAUUGCAUUUUGAAUCUGAAAUAAAGACGUUAUUAGAUAAAAAGGAGUCCUUCGAUUCGGGAAAUUCGAGUAUAGAAGGGACGAUGACUUCGGCUAGUUCUACAGCGUCAUCGGUGACGCAACCGCAGGAAGUCGGCGAGUCUCGUCAUCAUGAGCGCCAUAUUGAACACGAACUUCUAAAAAACUCCCGUCCAGAAAGUUACACGGAAGACAGUGACACAGGUCUGAGAAGUAGAGAUAGUGUUGGAACUACAACUGUUACACCCCCAAGCUCUUGCUUGUUUCCGACUUUUCAACCAGACUCUUUUUCUUCAAAUAUUGAAGAUACCUGUCUUAAAAGUAACUCUUAAUUAAUGAUAUUAAUAAUUUAUGCAGUUAUUUUGUUGUACGGCAUUUCACCGAGUGAUUCUUGUAACUAAUGGCAAUUUCUUUAUAUCUGUUGUUCAUGUAUUAUUAAAUGUAUUAUUAAAGAAAGAUAACUUUC
rnacentral:misc_RNA from 1 species